rnacentral:rRNA from 1 species
GUCCACGCCCUAAACGAUGUCAACUAGGUGUUGGGUGGGUAAAACCAUUUAGUACCGUAGCUAACGCGUGAAGUUGACCGCCUGGGGAGUACGGCCGCAAGGUUAAAACUCAAAGGAAUUGACGGGGACCCGCACAAGCGGUGGAUGAUGUGGAUUAAUUCGAUGCAACGCGAAAAACCUUACCUACCCUUGACAUGUUCAGAAUCCUGAAGAGAUUUGGGAGUGCCCGAAAGGGAGCUGGAACACAGGUGCUGCAUGGCUGUCGU